GAUUGUUCCAUUUUGAUUUCUCAAAUUCUGACUUUAUAUGUCAGAAGAAUAAACAUUACUUCCUCUCUUUGCUAAACAGGAUGUCACCAUUCCUACCGUCGCACUACAAAUUCAGGAUGUUGCCAAGCCCCAGGCUGGAAUGAGUUCUAGCCGCCUAUGACUUUACUAAACCUUACGACAUGUGGUCAGUUUCAAUAUCACGCCUCGUCCCCUUUUCAGUUCCCAUGUGCUAUUGCCUCAUGAUGAUCUAGAUUCCCAUUUGCACAUUGCACGGUAGGUGAUUGAUUUAAUGCUUACUCAGGUAAUUAAUGAUAUAAUCUCCAGUAUAAUUUGGUUCUCCUCGCCGUAGAGUGGCUCCAUUUUUCAUACUGAUAGAUAGUGAAUAGGUGAGCAAUGGAGCGGAGAAAGCAAAUAUGAGUCACAUUUAUUAUCUAAAAAAACUCUACAACCAAUUCAUGAUGGCCGAACUGAUGAGUUCGCCACCGCUCUCCAUUAGGCAAAUAGUUAAUUAUUAGGGUUAUAUAUGCACGUUUUUUUUUUCUAAAUGUCGAAGCUCUAUUAUCUUGAUCUUUUUAACCUAAAUACCUUGUUCUCCGUUGGAGUGUUGUAUAACAAUUAAUAAUAAAUGCAAUGAUUUACCCAAGCAAGGCUACAAAUUUUGUCAGUACAAUAUUAGUGGUUUGUCUUGAUGUUUGUAGGGAAGGGGAGAAUGAGAGUCCCAUGAACUGCUCGAUUUGAGGUCAUGUUAAGUGAUCAGGUCCCAUAUUUCAGAUCAUGUUCUUCAUAUCCAGUUCAUUCCUUACUUCUAUGUAUUCUUUUCCAAAUAAUCUUCGAUUUAUCAGUACAAAUAAAUUGUGCUAUUUCGGAAUGUUUUCUUUUCCAAGUUUCUACCAAAAAAAAUCAUGUGCCUCAUGUUUAACCAGGUGGUUUGACAUCUAUUGAACUACAUCGAGUGUUAUUUACAAGGCAGCCAAUGACAGCAGAGGCGGAGGCCUAUAUCAUUGUUGUAGGGCACAUGGAGGUGCUGCUCGGGUGAAGGGCCAGGGAAGCGGCGACCUCUGGGGCGGUGAGGUCAGCUUGACUGAUGUGUGGUUUGACUGGUAUUACAUGAUUUGAUCAACUUAUCUUUUUUGAAAAAUGAUACACUGAUUUACAUGAUUUUGUGUUGUACCUAAUUGGCAGGAUUGUCAAUAGUUGCAUUAUUCCCCACUUGAUGAUCAAACAUGAUUCCCCUUAAGAUAUGCACAAGCAAGGCAUUUCAAGUUGAACACAUACAUAGAUAUCCAAGUAUUCUCCUACAUACUGGAUCAAUCAGAAUUGUUAAGGUUUUGUGGGGAUCUGGAUAAUAUUUUUCUGAAGCAGUGGUCAUAGUAUGCAGAUAAUAUUUUUCUGAAGCAGUGAUCAUAUUAUGCAGAUAAUAUAGAUGAUCGAGACAAUUCCUUGCCACUGAAACCAAUUUUCCUAAUAUACCACUUAACUAGAUUUGUUACCCUUCUCAUGCCAUUUCCAAAGAUGCAUAGUUAUCGAACAUCAAGUGGAUUGUAAAAUGGCUCUUAUGUCCUUAUUGUGGUUUAUGUGUAUUAUACUUUGUAUUACGAACAGCGGUACGUGGAAGUUUUUUUUUUUGGCAAUUUGGAUGUACAGCAUUUGAAUUACAAGAUAUCACCGUAGCGUUAGCACGGGCACAUUACUAGUACUAAAUAAUUAAUAUCUGGUCCCAUCUAUCAUA